UGGGGGAUAUUGCACAAUGGGCGAAAGCCUGAUGUAGCGACGCCGCGUGGGGGAUGAAGGCCUUCGGGUUGUAAACUUCUUUUGCUCUGAACAAGGCAUGCCUUUGGGGUGUGUUGAGUGUAGGGGUUGAUUAGCGCCGGCUAACUACGUGCCAGCAGCCGCGGUAAUACGUAGGGCGCGAGCGUUGUCCGGAAUUAUUGGGCGUAAAGGGCUUGUAGGUGGCUGGUUGCGUCUGUCGUGAAAGCUCAUGGCUUAACUGUGGGUUUGCGGUGGGUACGGGCUGGCUUGAGUGCAGUAGGGGAGGCUGGAAUUCCUGGUGUAGCGGUGGAAUGCGCAGAUAUCAGGAGGAAUACCGGUGGCGAAGGCGGGUCUCUGGGCUGUUACUGACGCUGAGGAGCGAAAGCGUGGGGAGCGCACAGG
rnacentral:rRNA from 1 species